rnacentral:rRNA from 1 species
GGUAUUUUGACCGUGCUAAGGUAGCAUAAUCAAUUGUUUUUUAAUUGAAAACUAGUAUGAACGGUUUAAUUUACUUAAUUAGUUUGUAAUUUUUAAUAGUAAGUUAAAUAUAAAGUAAGAAUUCUUUAAUAAAUUAGGGGACGAUAAGACCCUAAAAGCUUUAUGAUCGGCAUUUAAUUGGUGAUAGCGGUGUUAUUAAUUCACUGGGGCAGUGAGUUUAGGUAUAUUUAAGUAUAAUUAAAAGCUCCUUUAAAUAAAGAUUUCAUGUAUAAGUUACUUUAGGGAUAACAGUGCAAUAUAUU